GAUUGUAAAGCUCACUAGGUAGAACACCUAACUAGAGAUUCAGGGGGCCUGGGUUCGAAUCCCAGUCUGAUUU
rnacentral:tRNA from 1 species